UACGUAGGGGGCAAGCGUUGUCCGGAUUUACUGGGCGUAAAGAGCGUGUAGGCGGCCAAGCAGGUCCGUUGUGAAAACUGGAGGCUUAACCUCCAGACGUCGACGGAAACCGCGUGGCUAGAGUCCGGAAGAGGAGAGUGGAAUUCCUGGUGUAGCGGUGAAAUGCGCAGAUAUCAGGAAGAACACCGACGGCGAAGGCAGCUCGCUGGGACGGUACUGACGCUGAGGCGCGAAAGCGUGGGGAGCGAACAGG
rnacentral:rRNA from 1 species